GCCGCCAGCCUAAAUACUCAGUAGGUACCAGAUCCCAUCUGAUCUUAGAAGCUAGGUAGUGUUUGCCCUAGUUAGUACUUGAGUGGGAGACCACCAAUGAAUACAAGGCACUGUAGGCU
rnacentral:rRNA from 1 species